AGUGAACGCUGGCGGUAGGCCUAACACAUGCCAGUCGAACGGCAGCACAGUAAGAGCUUGCUCUUACGGGUGGCGAGUGGCGGACGGGUGAGUAAUACAUCGGAAUCUACUUUUUCGUGGGGGAUAACGUAGGGAAACUUACGCUAAUACCGCAUACGACCUACGGGUGAAAGCAGGGGAUCUUCGGACCUUGCGCGAUUGAAUGAGCCGAUGUCGGAUUAGCUAGUUGGCGGGGUAAAGGCCCACCAAGGCGACGAUCCGUAGCUGGUCUGAGAGGAUGAUCAGCCACACUGGAACUGAGACACGGUCCAGACUCCUACGGGAGGCAGCAGUGGGGAAUAUUGGACAAUGGGCGCAAGCCUGAUCCAGCCAUACCGCGUGGGUGAAGAAGGCCUUCGGGUUGUAAAGCCCUUUUGUUGGGAAAGAAAAGCAGCAGGUUAAUACCCCGCUGUUCUGACGGUACCCAAAGAAUAAGCACCGGCUAACUUCGUG
rnacentral:rRNA from 1 species